rnacentral:rRNA from 1 species
GAUGAACGCUAGCUACAGGCUUAACACAUGCAAGUCGAGGGGAAACGGCAUUUAGUGCUUGCACUGAAUGGACGUCGACCGGCGCACGGGUGAGUAACGCGUAUCCAACCUACCCAUUACUGUGGGAUAACCUGCCGAAAGGCAGACUAAUACCGCAUGGUCUUCGAUGACGGCAUCAGAUUUGAAGUAAAGAUUUAUCGGUAAUGGAUGGGGAUGCGUCUGAUUAGCUUGUUGGCGGGGUAACGGCCCACCAAGGCAACGAUCAGUAGGGGUUCUGAGAGGAAGGUCCCCCACAUUGGAACUGAGACACGGUCCAAACUCCUACGGGAGGCAGCAGUGAGGAAUAUUGGUCAAUGGACGAGAGUCUGAACCAGCCAAGUAGCGUGCAGGAUGACGGCCCUAUGGGUUGUAAACUGCUUUUGUAUGGGGAUAAAGUCAAUCACGUGUGAUUGUUUGCAGGUACCAUACGAAUAAGGACCGGCUAAUUCCGUGCCAGCAGCCGCGGUAAUACGGAAGGUUCGGGCGUUAUCCGGAUUUAUUGGGUUUAAAGGGAGCGUAGGCCGGAGAUUAAGUGUGUUGUGAAAUGUAGACGCUCAACGUCUGACUUGCAGCGCAUACUGGUUUCCUUGAGUACGCACAACGUUGGCGGAAUUCGUCGUGUAGCGGUGAAAUGCUUAGAUAUGACGAAGAACUCCGAUUGCGAAGGCAGCUGACGGGAGCGCAACUGACGCUUAAGCUCGAAGGUGCGGGUAUCGAACAGG